rnacentral:rRNA from 1 species
UACGUAGGGACCGAGCGUUGUCCGGAUUCAUUGGGCGUAAAGAGCUCGUAGGCGGCUGUUCAAGUCGAACGUGAAAACUCGGAGCUCAACUCCGAGCCUGCGUUCGAUACUGGACGGCUAGAGUCUGGUAGGGGGAUCUGGAAUUCCUGGUGUAGCGGUGGAAUGCGCAGAUAUCAGGAGGAACACCGGUGGCGAAGGCGGGAUCCUGGGCCGGUACUGACGCUGAGGAGCGAAAGCGUGGGGAGCGAACAGG